rnacentral:rRNA from 1 species
UACAGAGGGUGCGAGCGUUAAUCGGAAUUACUGGGCGUAAAGCGUGCGUAGACGGUUAUUUAAGUCGGGUGUGAAAGCCCCGGGCUCAACCUGGGAAUUGCGAUGGAUACUGGCGAGCUAGAGUACGGUAGAGGAUGGUGGAAUUCCCGGUGUAGCGGUGAAAUGCGUAGAGAUCGGGAGGAACACCCGUGGCGAAGGCGGCCAUCUGGACCAGUACUGACGCUGAGGCACGAAAGCGUGGGGAGCAAACAGG